rnacentral:rRNA from 1 species
UACGGAGGAUGCAAGCGUUAUCCGGAAUGAUUGGGCGUAAAGCGUCCGCAGGUGGCUAUGUAAGUCUGCUGUUAAAGAGCAAAGCUUAACUUUGUAAAAGCAGUGGAAACUACGUAGCUAGAGUGCGUUCGGGGCAGAGGGAAUUCCUGGUGUAGCGGUGAAAUGCGUAGAGAUCAGGAAGAACACCGGUGGCGAAGGCGCUCUGCUAGGCCGCAACUGACACUGAGGGACGAAAGCUAGGGGAGCAAACGGG